rnacentral:tRNA from 1 species
ACAUUGGUGGUUCAGCGGUAGAAUUCUUGCCUUCCAUGCAGGAGACCUGGGUUCAAUUCCUAGGCAAUGCA